AUGGUGGCUUGUGGGCGGAUGUGUCUCAGACCUAAGUUGUUGCCGCUGGACCGUGGUUACAUUCAUCCUAGCUUGGAGGAAACGGUGCGGGAAGAUAUGCAUGUGCAGGGCGAAGAAGUGGACGAAGGCCGAAGAAGCAAUCUCUGCCUCCCUAUCGCUGCGUCCUGCUUCUCAAUAUGUCACCUUAGUCAUGGCCACCUUAGCCCUCAUGCUACUGAUUUGAACCUUCCCUACUCUUCUUCUCCUGGGCUGCUCGAGUGCUUCAGUGGGUGCCUUGCCGGCGACAGGGAAGGAAGGACCAGAGAGCCACGAAAUUGA
rnacentral:rRNA from 1 species